GACGAACGCUGGCGGCGUGCUUAACACAUGCAAGUCGAACGGAAAGGCCCUGCUUUUGUGGGGUUCUCGAGUGGCGAAGGGGGGAGUAACACGUGAGUAACCUCCCCCUGUCUGUGGGAGAACUUCAGGGAACUGGGGCUAAUACCCGAUAUGAUCUCCUGCUGCAUGGUGUUGGAUGGAGAGAUUCGGCUGUUGUGGAUGGACUCGAAGGUUAUCAGCUUCUUGGGGGGGUAGUUGCGUCCCAAGGCUUUGACGGGUAGCCGGCCUGAGAGGGUGACCGGGCACAUUGGGACUGCGAUACGGCGCAGAAUCCUACGGGCGGCAGCAGGGGGGAAUAUUGCACAAUGGGCGGAAGCCUGAUGCAGCAACGCCGCGUGCGGGAUGACGGCCUUCGGGGUGUAAACAGAUUUCGACUGUGACGAAGCGGGAGUGACGGUACUGGGUAAAGAAGCACCGGCUAACUACGUG
rnacentral:rRNA from 1 species